CCUACGGGAGGCAGCAGUGGGGAAUAUUGGACAAUGGGGGGAACCCUGAUCCAGCCAUGCCGCGUGUGUGAAGAAGGCCCUCGGGUUGUAAAGCACUUUCAGUGAGGAAGAACGCCUGGUGGUUAAUACCCAUCAGGAAAGACAUCACUCACAGAAGAAGCACCGGCUAACUCCGUGCCAGCAGCCGCGGUAAUACGGAGGGUGCGAGCGUUAAUCGGAAUUACUGGGCGUAAAGCGCGCGUAGGUGGCUUGAUAAGCCGGUUGUGAAAGCCCCGGGCUCAACCUGGGAACGGCAUCCGGAACUGUCAAGCUAGAGUGCAGGAGAGGAAGGUAGAAUUCCCGGUGUAGCGGUGAAAUGCGUAGAGAUCGGGAGGAAUACCAGUGGCGAAGGCGGCCUUCUGGACUGACACUGACACUGAGGUGCGAAAGCGUGGGUAGCAAACAGGAUUAGAUAACCCGUGUAGUC
rnacentral:rRNA from 1 species